rnacentral:rRNA from 1 species
AUGAAGGAUGUCAUGAGAGCUCGCUUCGUGCCUACACACUACACCCAUGAUCUCUUCAAGAAGUUGCAACUCCUCAAGCAAGGCACGAAGACGGUGGAAGAAUACUACCAAGAGAAGGAGAUCGCCAUGAUACGAGCCAAUGUCAAGGAAGACGACGAGCAAACAAUGGCCCGCUUCUUGAAUGGCCUCAACCACCCCAUCAAGCGGAUUGCCGACUUCCAACCAUACUCAAACCUUCUCGAGCUAGUUCAACAAGCGACCAAGGCCGAGCGACAAGUGCAAGAUGACUUCAAAUACGCCAAGUACUCGUCCAAGACUUUCGGCUCCUACUCUCAAGCUCCCGCGACUUCAGCAACUCCUACCUCAAAUAGAACAUCACCAAGUACCGGCAAUAAGUCAAGUUCCAAGCAAGCUACGCCUUCCUCGACUCGAUCUCCAACAAGAAACUACAAGUCCAAGAAUCCAUCAUCUUCGGCGCCACCAAACGACCCCGUCAAGACAAGUUCUUUCAAGUGUUUCACAUGUGGAGGCCGAGGACACAAGUCCUUCAAAUGCACCAACAAGCGGACAAUGAUUUUCAAUGAUGAUGGCACAUACGACUCGAUGAGAGAAGAAGAAAUGGAAGCCCUUGAGCACGUCGCAAUGCACCACCGCGUGAACGAAGAUGAAGAUGAUCAAGUGUUUUGUGACAACGAUUCAAGUCCCUCUCUCGUGGUCUCCAAGGUCUUGACACUCCAACACCAUCAAGAUGAAGACCAACGAUGCCACAUCUUCCACACCAAGGCCGGCAUCAAUGGGCGUUCCGUGAAGGUCAUAAUCGACGGAGGAAGUUGUCACAACUUGGCAAGCGACGAGCUAUGUUCCAAGCUGCAAUUGGUCAAGAAGAAGCACCCUCAUCCCCACAAGGUGCAAUGGCUAAGAGACUUCAGCACUAUCCAAGUGGAGCAUACAGUACAAGUUUCAUUCAAGAUCGGUGCCUACGAGGACACCUUGGAGUUUGACGUUGUAACUAUGUCCGUGUGCCAUCUUCUCUUGGGUCGACCUUGGCAAUUUGACUGCGGAGUCACCCACAAUGGAAGAACAAACCACUAUAGCUUCAAGAUGAAAGGCAAGGAAUAUGUGCUUCAACCUAUGUCACCAAGCCAAGUAAUCGCCGACAAGCAAGAUUCCACCCACCGUAGAGAGCCUAGUGAGAGAGUGAACCACCAAAAACAAAGUGAGAGCCACAAGCCAAAAUUGAGCGCCUCUUCGCCAAGAGAGAAAAACUUAGUCCUCCUAGCCAUAAAAAGAGAGAUGAGAGACAUAUGUGAGAACCCAUCGAGUAUCAUCCACUUUGUCCUCCUAUGCAAAGAUGAGGUGGCAGAAACUAACAAUCCUAAUCCUCUGCCUCUAGUGUUUUCUAACUUGUUGCAGGAAUUCAAAGAUGUCUUCCCCGAUGAGCUACCUCCCGGUCUCCCUCCUCUAUGUGGCAUUGAACAUAGGAUCGACCUCAUCCCCGGCGCACCUCUUCCGAACAAGGCUCCCUACCGCGUCAAUCCCGAAGAAACUAAGGAGAUCCAACGGCAAGUACAACAACUCAUCGACCACGGUCAUGUACGUGAAAGCUUGAGCCCUUGUGCCGUUCCGGUUAUACUUGUGCCCAAUCAAGAUGGUAGUUUUCGCAUGUGCUCCAAUUGUAGACCCAUCAAUGAUAUCACCGUUCGUUAUAGGCAUCCUAACCUCACCUACAUGAUAUGUUACAUGAGCUUAGCGGCGCGACCAUUUUCUCCAAAAUUGAUCUCAAAAGUGGCUAUUAUCAAAUACGCAUACAAGAAGGUGACAAAUGGAAAACUGCUUUCAAAACUAAAUUUGGCUUGUACGAGUGGUUAG